AUUGAACGCUGGCGGAAUGCUUUACACAUGCAAGUCGAACGGCAGCACGGACUUCGGUCUGGUGGCGAGUGGCGAACGGGUGAGUAAUGUAUCGGAACGUGCCCAGUCGUGGGGGAUAACGUAGUGAAAAUUACGCUAAUACCGCAUACGAUCUAUGGAUGAAAGCGGGGGAUCGCAAGACCUCGCGCGAUUGGAGCGGCCGAUAUCAGAUUAGGUAGUUGGCGGGGUAAAGGCCCACCAAGCCAACGAUCUGUAGCCGGUCUGAGAGGACGACCAGACAGACUGGAACGGUGCCACGUUCCAGACUCCUACGGGAGGCAGCAGUGGGGAAUGUUGGACAAUGGGCGAAAGCCUGUUCCAGCCAAUCCGCGUGAAGGAUGAAGGCACUCAGGUUGUAAACUGCUUUUGUACAGAACGAAAAGGUUUCUACUAAUACUAGGAGCUCAUGACGGUACUGUAAGAAUAAGCACCGGCUAACUACGUGCCAGCAGCCGCAGUAA
rnacentral:rRNA from 1 species